GACGAACGCUGGCGGCGUGCCUAAUACAUGCAAGUAGAACGCACAGUUUAUACCGUAGCUUGCUACACCAUAGACUGUGAGUUGCGAACGGGUGAGUAACGCGUAGGUAACCUGCCUGGUAGCGGGGGAUAACUAUUGGAAACGAUAGCUAAUACCGCAUAAUAUUGAUUAUUGCAUGAUAAUUAAUUGAAAGGUGCAAUUGCACCACUACCAGAUGGACCUGCGUUGUAUUAGCUAGUAGGUGAGGUAACGGCUCACCUAGGCGACGAUACAUAGCCGACCUGAGAGGGUGAUCGGCCACACUGGGACUGAGACACGGCCCAGACUCCUACGGGAGGCAGCAGUAGGGAAUCUUCGGCAAUGGACGAAAGUCUGACCGAGCAACGCCGCGUGAGGGAAGAAGGUUUUCGGAUCGUAAAGCUCGGUUGUAAGAGAAGAACGGGUGUGAGAGUGGAAAGUUCACACUGUGACGGUAUCUUACCAGAAAGGGACGGCUAACUACGUG
rnacentral:rRNA from 1 species